UGGGGAAUAUUGCACAAUGGGCGAAAGCCUGAUGCAGCAACGCCGCGUGAGCGAUGAAGGCCUUCGGGUUGUAAAGCUCUGUCUUUUGGGACGAUAAUGACGGUACCAAAGGAGGAAGCCACGGCUAACUACGUGCCAGCAGCCGCGGUAAUACGUAGGUGGCAAGCGUUGUCCGGAUUUACUGGGCGUAAAGGAUGCGUAGGCGGAUUUUUAAGUGAGAUGUGAAAACCCUAAGCUUAACUUGGGGACUGCAUUUCAUACUGGAAAUCUAGAGUGCGGGAGAGGAGAAUGGAAUUCCUAGUGUAGCGGUGAAAUGCGUAGAGAUUAGGAAGAACACCAGUGGCGAAGGCGAUUCUCUGGACCGUAACUGACGCUGAGGCAUGAAAGCGUGGGUAGCAAACAGGAUUAGAUACCCUGGUAGUCCACGCCGUAAACGAUGAGUACUAGGUGUAGGAGGUAUCGACCCCUUCUGUGCCGCAGUUAACACAAUAAGUACUCCGCCUGGGAAGUACGAUCGCAAGAUUAAAACUCAAAGGAAUUGACGGGGUCAUAGCUGUUUCCU
rnacentral:rRNA from 1 species